ncrna:unclassified sequences pemK RNA
AUAAUGAUACUUCAGCUCGGCUUAAUUUAUAUUGAGGGGUUGCUCGGUUGGAUAACGGAGAGGUUUAAAUACCUAUGU